AUUUAUUUUUAACAGGUUCUAUAAUGUUAUGAAUACAAAUCUGUAUCAAAUUCCCCCUUCCAGCAGGUAAAGGGUUAUAAACCCCUUUAAUUUACUCACCCGAUUCCAGCGCCAUCUCCCUUGGGGCUGGGUCAGCGCUCCGCCUCCUCCUAUCUCAUCUGCAAGCGCAUUAGGCCCUCCCCUUGGAAAAGCAUUGCCUCAUGCGGAUUUCACUAGCGUCAUUUAGGGAACCCAGAAUCUGGUAAACUUCCGGGAAGCCCCUCUAAAGGCAGUCUUAGUACUGCAAUGUAAACAUUUAGUUUCUCAAAAACUGUGAUGAUUUACAUUGCAGGAUUAAGGGGACAGGCAGUGGUGUAUCCUGGUUUUGUG